GGAGGUGGAAUUCCGCGUGUAGCAGUGAAAUGCGUAGAUAUGCGGAGGAACACCGAUGGCGAAGGCAGCCUCCUGGGAUAACACUGACGCUCAUGCACGAAAGCGUGGGGAGCAAACAGGAUUAGAUACCCUGGUAGUCCACGCCCUAAACGAUGUCAACUAGCUGUUGGGGCCUUCGGGCCUUGGUAGCGCAGCUAACGCGUGAAGUUGACCGCCUGGGGAGUACGGUCGCAAGAUUAAAACUC
rnacentral:rRNA from 1 species